rnacentral:tRNA from 1 species
GCCUUGGUGGUGGAAUUGGUAGACACGCAGGACUUAAAAUCCUGUUUCCGUUGAGGAAGUGCGGGUUCAAGUCCCGCCCGAGGUA